rnacentral:rRNA from 1 species
AACGAACGCUGGCGGCAGGCUUAACACAUGCAAGUCGAGCGAGAAAGGCACUUCGGUGCUGAGUAGAGCGGCGAACGGGUUAGUAACGCGUGGGAACAUACCUAGUAGUGGGGGAUAACAGUUGGAAACGACUGCUAAUACCGCAUACGCCCUAAGGGGGAAAGAUUUAUCGCUAUUAGAUUGGCCCGCGUUAGAUUAGUUAGUUGGUGAGGUAAUGGCUCACCAAGGCGAUGAUCUAUAGCUGGUUUUAGAGGAUGAUCAGCAACACUGGAACUGAGACACGGUCCAGACUCCUACGGGAGGCAGCAGUGGGGAAUAUUGCACAAUGGAGGAAACUCUGAUGCAGCCAUGCCGCGUGAGUGAUGAAGGCCCUAGGGUUGUAAAACUCUUUCAGAUGUGAGGAUGAUGACGUUAACAUCAGAAGAAGCCCCGGCUAACUUCG